rnacentral:rRNA from 2 species
GACGAACGCUGGCGGCGUGCUUAACACAUGCAAGUCGAACGGAAAGGCCCAGCUUGCUGGGUACUCGAGUGGCGAACGGGUGAGUAACACGUGGGUGAUCUGCCCCUGACUUUGGGAUAAGCCUGGGAAACUGGGUCUAAUACCGGAUAUGACCUUACAUCGCAUGGUGUUUGGUGGAAAGCUUUUGCGGUUGGGGAUGGGCCCGCGGCCUAUCAGCUUGUUGGUGGGGUAAUGGCCUACCAAGGCGACGACGGGUAGCCGACCUGAGAGGGUGAUCGGCCACACUGGGACUGAGACACGGCCCAGACUCCUACGGGAGGCAGCAGUGGGGAAUAUUGCACAAUGGGCGCAAGCCUGAUGCAGCGACGCCGCGUGAGGGAUGACGGCCUUCGGGUUGUAAACCUCUUUCACCAGGGACGAAGCGUGAGUGACGGUACCUGGAGAAGAAGCACCGGCCAACUACGUG